UGACCUCGGAUCAGGUAGGGAUACCCGCUGAACUUAAGCAUAUCAAUAAGCGGAGGAAAAGAAACCAACAGGGAUUGCCCCAGUAACGGCGAGUGAAGCGGCAAGAGCUCAAAUUUGAAAGCUGGCUCCUUCGGGGUCCGCAUUGUAAUUUGCAGAGGAUGCUUCGGGAGCGGUCCCCAUCUAAGUGCCCUGGAACGGGACGUCAUAGAGGGUGAGAAUCCCGUAUGGGAUGGGGUGUCCGCGCCCGUGUGAAGCUCCUUCGACGAGUCGAGUUGUUUGGGAAUGCAGCUCUAAAUGGGUGGUAAAUUUCAUCUAAAGCUAAAUAUUGGCCGGAGACCGAUAGCGCACAAGUAGAGUGAUCGAAAGAUGAAAAGCACUUUGAAAAGAGAGUUAAAAAGCACGUGAAAUUGUUGAAAGGGAAGCGCUUGCGACCAGACUCGCUCGCGGGGUUCAGCCGGCAUUCGUGCCGGUGUAUUUCCCCGCGGGCGGGCCAGCGUCGGUUUGGGCGGUCGGUCAAAGGCCCUCGGAAGGUAACGCCCCUAGGGGCGUCUUAUAGCCGAGGGUGCAAUGCGACCUGCCUAGACCGAGGAACGCGCUUCGGCUCGGACGCUGGCAUAAUGGUCGUAAGCGACCCGUCUUGAAACACGGACCAAGGAGUCUAACAUCUACGCGAGUGUUCGGGUGUCAAACCCGUGCGCGAAGUGAAAGCGAACGGAGGUGGGAACCCUUACGGGUGCACCAUCGACCGAUCCUGAAGUCUUCGGAUGGAUUUGAGUAAGAGCGUAGCUGUUGGGACCCGAAAGAUGGUGAACUAUGCCUGAAUAGGGCGAAGCCAGAGGAAACUCUGGUGGAGGCUCGUAGCGGUUCUGACG
rnacentral:ncRNA from 1 species